rnacentral:rRNA from 1 species
ACGAACGCUGGCGGCACGCUUAACACAUGCAAGUCGAACGAGAGAAGAGAAGCUUGCUUUUCUGAUCUAGUGGCGGACGGGUGAGUAACACGUGAGCAAUCUGCCUUUCAGAGGGGGAUACCGAUUGGAAACGAUCGUUAAUACCGCAUAACAUAAUUGAACCGCAUGAUUUGAUUAUCAAAGAUUUAUCGCUGAAAGAUGAGCUCGCGUCUGAUUAGCUAGUUGGUAAGGUAACGGCUUACCAAGGCGACGAUCAGUAGCCGGACUGAGAGGUUGAUCGGCCACAUUGGGACUGAGACACGGCCCAGACUCCUACGGGAGGCAGCAGUGGGGAAUAUUGCACAAUGGAGGAAACUCUGAUGCAGCGAUGCCGCGUGAGGGAAGAAGGUUUUAGGAUUGUAAACCUCUGUCUUCAGGGACGAAAAAAGACGGUACCUGAGGAGGAAGCUCCGGCUAACUACGUGCCAGCAGCCGCGGUAAUACGUAGGGAGCGAGCGUUGUCCGGAAUUACUGGGUGUAAAGGGAGCGUAGGCGGGAUCGCAAGUCAGAUGUGAAAACUAUGGGCUUAACCCAUAAACUGCAUUUGAAACUGUGGUUCUUGAGUGAAGUAGAGGUAAGCGGAAUUCCUAGUGUAGCGGUGAAAUGCGUAGAUAUUAGGAGGAACAUCAGUGGCGAAGGCGGCUUCGUGGGCUUUAACUGCCCCCGAGGCUCGAAAGCGUGGGGAGCAAACAGGAUUAGAUACCCUGGUAGUCCACGCCGUAAACGAUGAUUACUAGGUGUGGGGGGACUGACCCCUUCCGUGCCGCAGCAAACGCAAUAAGUAAUCCACCUGGGGAGUACGACCGCAAGGUUGAAACUCAAAGGAAUUGACGGGGGCCCGCACAAGCAGUGGAGUAUGUGGUUUAAUUCGAAGCAACGCGAAGAACCUUACCAGGUCUUGACAUCCUUCUGACCGCACCUUAAUCGGUGCUUUCCUUCGGGACAGAAGAGACAGGUGGUGCAUGGUUGUCGUCAGCUCGUGUCGUGAGAUGUUGGGUUAAGUCCCGCAACGAGCGCAACCCUUACUGUUAGUUGCUACGCAAGAGCACUCUAGCAGGACUGCCGUUGACAAAACGGAGGAAGGUGGGGAUGACGUCAAAUCAUCAUGCCCCUUAUGACCUGGGCCUCACACGUACUACAAUGGCUGUCAACAGAGGGAAGCAAAGCCGCGAGGUGGAGCAAACCCCUAAAAGCAGUCUUAGUUCGGAUUGUAGGCUGCAACCCGCCUACAUGAAGUCGGAAUUGCUAGUAAUCGCAGAUCAGCAUGCUGCGGUGAAUACGUUCCCGGGCCUUGUACACACCGCCCGUCACGCCAUGGGAGUCGGUAACACCCGAAGCCUGUAGUCUAACCGCAAGGAGGACGCAGUCGAAGGUGGGAUUGAUGACUGGGGUG